GAUGAACGCUGGCGGCGUGCCUAAUACAUGCAAGUCGAGCGAACAGAUGAUGAGCUUGCUCCUCUGACGUUAGCGGCGGACGGGUGAGUAACACGUGGAUAACCUACCUAUAAUACUGGGAUAACUUCGGGAAACCGGAGCUGAUAACGGAUAAUAUAUUGAACCGCAUGGUUCAAUAGUGAAAGACGGUUUUGCUGUCACUUUUAGAUGGAGCGGGGCCGCAUUAGCUAGUUGGUAAGGUAACGGCUUACCAAGGCAACGAUGCGUAGCCGACCUGAGAGGAUGAUCGGCCACACUGGAACUGAGACACGGUCCAGACUCCUACGGGAGGCAGCAGUAGGGAAUAUUCGGCAAUGGGCGCAAGCCUGACGGAGCAAUGCCGCGUGAGUGAUGAAGGUCUUCGGGUCGUAAAACUCUGUUAUUAGGGAAGAACAAAUGUGUAAGUAAAUAUGCACGUCUUGACGGUACCUAAUCAGAAAGCAACGGCUAACUACGUG
rnacentral:rRNA from 1 species